UGAAAUAGCUCAGUCGGUACAGCAUGAAACUCUGAAUCUCAGGGUCAUGGGUUCAAGCUGUGUACCAAUGGCUCAG